GACGAACGCUGGCGGCGUGCUUAACACAUGCAAGUCGAACGAAGUGGCGAACGGGUGAGUAACACGUGAGUAACCUGCCCUCUUCUUUGGGAUAACGGUCGGAAACGGCUGCUAAUACUGGAUAGUGGGGGAUGGGCUCGCGGCCUAUCAGCUUGUUGGUGGGGUGAUGGCCUACCAGGGCUUUGUCGGGUAACCGGCCUGAGAGGGUGACCGGUCACAUUGGGACUGAGCCACGGCCCAGACUGCUACAGGAGGGAGCAGUGGGGAAUAUUGGACAAGGGGCGCAAGCCUGAUGCAGCGACGCAGCGUGAGGGAUGAAGGCCUUCGGGUUGUAAACCUUGUUCGCUCAUGGUGGGGUAGUCGGUAAAGAAGCGCCGGCUAACUACGUGCCAGCAGCCGCGGUAAUAC
rnacentral:rRNA from 1 species